rnacentral:hammerhead_ribozyme from 1 species
AUCCAGCUGACGAGUCCCAACUAGGACGAAACGUGCAUCCUGGAU